UGAUGUUGGUGUCGAUGCAAGCCAAGGGCCAAGAAGGGUUUCUCAUGAUGAUGAAAUGUUGAAGAAUUGAAGCAAAAUCCAGCCUUAAUUCUCUUGCAUGUGUAGAGAUUCUACAUCAAAAAGCUAUAUGAAACAUGUGGAACGUGUCAAGGAGAGCUCAAGCAUAGGAGGAUAACGGGUCAAGAUAAGGCAAGGUGACAAAUACACUUAUUGGAGUACUCAAGGUAAGUGAUUUCUAUAAUCACUUCUUUAGUUGUUUAAGUAAUAUAAUGUUUUAAUUAUUAAGUUCAUAUGAAGUUGAGGUCAAAUCAAUAGAUUAUUUUGAUAAAUGCACGAAUGGGUCGAAUAAUUCAUAGAUGAAUAACAAGCCGAAUACGUAUAAGUUAAGAAAUUCCUUAACUCGGAUGUUGGACUUCAAGAUCACAUGAUAGAAUAUUAAAUUACAAUCAUAUAGGAAGAAACGUGACGCAAAACGGAUGAAAAAUGAGAGAGUUAUGUCCGUUUCGGUAAGGAUUAAUGGCUAGGAAAAGUGCAGAGUUGACACGGCCGGGUGGUGAACUGACACGGCCGGGUGAAGGUUCUGUCAAAAAUAUUAUUUAUGUGAUUUAUGCGCCGUAGGCUUCGGUAUAUUAUCCGUGAACUACGACGGGCCUCCCAGACAUGAUUUCGAGUGUUCCCUUGACGAUUAUAAGUUGUAAACCCAAGUCUAAGCCUCAUGUAAUUUAUAUAAGAGUGUGAUAGAUGUAUGUAAUGAAGUUGGACAUGUAUUACAUGUAAAUGUAUACAAAAAUACGUACGGAACACGUAGAUAUGAAUACAUGAUUGUAGGUAUGAUUAAAUGUAUAUUAGGUAUGUAGAUGUGUAUGAUUGUAAGUUUGUAUGUGUGCAAGUAUGUGCGAAUGCAUGAUUUGGAUGCAUUUGAGAAUUAGCGUUACUAAUAAUGCCCUUGGGUUUGGAAUAUAAGUUAAUUGGAUGCAUUUAAAUGGUUGACGUCCUUUUUAUGAAGAUGUAGUAAAUGAAUAUGUUGAGAUUACGGGUUUGGCUAACCAAGUUAUUAUUGAGUAUGUUUGAAAGUGCAGGUUAUGAAUGUCGGACUUUCGAAGUGUUGAUAUAAUAAUGAAACGGUUGAAUGUUGAAAGGAUAAUCGGAUUGAAGUAACUUAUGCGGUUAGAAUAUGCUAUGGACGUUUUAGUUUAUACAACAUUUUAUGUUUGGUCGUCAUCAUCUACCAACGGGUUAGUUGUUUGAAAAUAUAUGUC
rnacentral:lncRNA from 1 species